UCAUAGGAAUGCUUUGGUUGCAAAGCACUUUCAUGUCUCCCUCUUUUGCGAUCCGUGCGUACAUUAAGCAGAGACAUCUGGCUGGGGAGUCCACAACGAUCCCGGCUGCUCUUGCGAGUGAACAUGGGUUACAGGAGAACCUGGCAGAUAAUGGAAACUUAGGAAAACCGGGAACGGCCACCAUCUAGACGAGAAGGGCAGCACCGGGUCACCUACCCAUUGUGGCGUCCCGGUAGCUCGCCGUGAUCGUAUAGUGGUUAGUACUCUGCGUUGUGGCCGCAGCAACCUCGGUUCGAAUCCGAGUCACGGCAUUGUGGAAACAAUGGCACGGCAAGGGCGACUUUUUAGACUGGAGAAGCCACAUUCUAGUCAGAGAGGUUAACUCUGAAAACUGCUACCUGUCACGAAGCCAAGGCUAAAAUUAUAAUGGACAAUUAGAUCUCAUGACAAGUGAAAAAUAUGACUGCACUAGAGGUGCUGGUUCCUGUAGCCACCAUGCUGGGUGCCAAUAAGAGGUGUGUGACCUUCAUCUCCACAGUCUCCUAGGUGCACUGACAAAAUAGAGUGUCUGGGCUGGCAAAGCCAAGAGCUGAAGACCCUGGCCUGGAAUGACCUCAUCAAGACCCUGCUGCCCUCGGACACCCUCUCUGAGCAGUCAGUCAGCACCCCCUUCCCCUUGGUCUCUUGCUUUGAAAAUUGUUUUGUGAUUUCCGAUUCUGGGAUUGUAAUCAAAUCUGUCAUCGCUUCCAGCUUGAGGCUGGAACUCUUCUCUAGGUCUCAGUGCCACGGAAGAGGUAGGCAGUAUAAAAGCUCCCUGUUAACACAUUCCAGCUCCAGUUGUUCCCAUCUUGGUUGGAUUUGUUGAUUUCUGCAGGUUUCCAACCUCUAAGUCACUUUGACUUUUCUUUCCCUUCCAUCUGAUAGACCCUGAGGUACAGUAGUUGACAGUGCUAGACUAGUCCUAACUCUAAUUAAAGGGUAGCAUAAGCUGGGGAUGGUGGCUCAUGCCUGUAAUCCCAGCUCUUUGGAAGGCUAAAGUUGGAGGAUUGCUUGAGCCCAGGCGUUUAAGACCAGCCUAGGCAGUAUAGUGAGAUACCAUCUCUGUUUAAAAAAAGAAAAUUGGGGGAGCUAGCAUACCUUAGUAAUGAAGCC